UACGGAAGCAGCAGUGGGGAAUAUUGCACAAUGGGCGGAAGCCUGAUGCAGCGACGCCGCGUGGGGGAUGACGGCCUUCGGGUUGUAAACUCCUUUCGACAGGGACGAAGCUUUUGUGACGGUACCUGUAUAAGAAGCACCGGCUAACUACGUGCCAGCAGCCGCGGUAAUACGUAGGGUGCGAGCGUUGUCCGGAAUUACUGGGCGUAAAGAGCUCGUAGGUGGUUUGUCGCGUCGUCUGUGAAAUUCCGGGGCUUAACUCCGGGCGUGCAGGCGAUACGGGCAUAACUUGAGUGCUGUAGGGGAGACUGGAAUUCCUGGUGUAGCGGUGAAAUGCGCAGAUAUCAGGAGGAACACCGAUGGCGAAGGCAGGUCUCUGGGCAGUUACUGACGCUGAGGAGCGAAAGCAUGGGUAGCGAACAGGGAUUAGAUACC
rnacentral:rRNA from 1 species